rnacentral:lncRNA from 10 species
AACCAGGCAGUAGAAAUGGAAACUUUCCAGUACCCCUUCCCCCAGGCUUUAUUAUUAUUAUUAUUAUUAUUAUUUUUGCAGGCUUUAAGUGGUUAUUCCUGAGACAAGUGUUAUGUGGUACAACAAACAUGGGCUUGAAUUCCAGUUUCCUAGCUGCGUAGUCCUGGGGAGAUUACUUUAGCACUCUGGCCUUCAGCUUCCUCACCUGUAGUAAAUUCUGCCUUACAGUGUUGUUGGGAGGAUUCAAGAAGCAAUUUUAUUUCAGUUUCUUAGUGCACUACCUGGUCCAUAGUAAGGGUUUAGUAAAUCCCAGCCAGUCUUAUUGUUGUGCAGCCCUUAGAGCUUUCAGAGUAUGUUCGUAUCUACUGUUUCACUAUUCUCCCCACAAUCCUUUGCCAUAAGCUAGUUUGGAAUUUAUCAUCCCAUUUUAGAGGUGAAGAUGCUAACAUCCAGAAAGGAUGAAUAUUCUUCCCUGGGCACACAGAACUUCUCACUUGGACAUUGUCUCAAUGAAGAGUUUCUCCAUAUAUGUGACGGUGAAAAUGAACUCUUUUUAAAAACCAACUUUAACUUACCUUCUCCUGAACUGCCUUUUGAAGAAAGAGAAGUUAGGGUUUGUUGUUUUGUUUGCUGUAUUUGAAUGGCCCUUGGCCUGUGGCUUUUCCACAAAAUUGCACUAAUGGUCAACAACAGUCUACAGGAUCAACUGCAAAACGUGCCAUCUUUUAUACUAUCUUGCAAGACAAACAGUAAAUGAGAGAGUCUUGAGAGUGGGGAAAAACUGAAUUGUAUGCUGCUCUCAUAGAAGGUUUAUUUUCAGGGGGUGGCUGGGAAUCAGUAUGCAUGGAUAAGGGGGGACAUCUUGGAGUUAGUUCCCCUUGGACCUUGUUCCAACAUUGUACUUCCUGGCUAUGGAGACCAGACGAAGACAGUUCUCUGCAACUCAGUUUUCUCUUCUCUAAUAUGGGUAUAAUAAUAGUAAAAGGCUUGUCAUGAGGAUUAGAUGAGAAAAUCUUUUAAAAAUGCUUAGUAAAGCUCUUCUAUAUAGACAGUAUUAAAAACUUGGCUAACUUUUAGUAUUUCUAUAAUUGUUCUUUGUUUUUGUUACAGAAUCAGAACAAAGAGGGAGGAAUCUAACAUUUACUGGCCAUCUUUUAGGUGUCAGGAACUUUACAUAUUAUUUAUUCUAAUAUUUCCCAGAAUAUUAUAUGAUGGAAAUUCUUAGUCCCGUUUUAUAGAUGAGCAAAUUAAGACUCAGAGAGGUGAAACAAUUUGUUCAGAGUCAACAUAAUUAGUAAGCUCUGGACUCCAGAAUUAAACUUGGCAUAUUUGACCCUAA